UACGGAGGGGGCUAGCGUUGUUCGGAAUUACUGGGCGUAAAGCGCACGUAGACGGCUUUACAAGUCAGGGGUGAAAGCCCGCGGCUCAACCGCGGAAUUGCCCUUGAGACUGUAUCGCUUGAACACGGGAGAGGUGAGUGGAAUUCCGAGUGUAGAGGUGAAAUUCGUAGAUAUUCGGAAGAACACCAGUGGCGAAGGCGGCUCACUGGACCGUAGUUGACGCUGAGGUGCGAAAGCGUGGGGAGCAAACAGGG
rnacentral:rRNA from 1 species